GGCAAGAUGGCCGAGCGGUCCAAGGCGCUGUGUUCAGGCUUGCUUCGGCAAUACCUAAACAAAAAAAAAUCGCAGUCUCCCUGAGGCGUGGGUUCGAAUCCCACUCUUGUCA
rnacentral:tRNA from 1 species